AGUCUAGGCUUAAAAAAAAUUAAGAAUAUCUUAUUAAUUGAGUUAUUUUCGUGAAUAGAUAAUUCGCCCGUCCAGCCAACUCUAACCGAGGCGUAGGAACAGAUUGCAUAGCGCGGCAGAACUGUGAGUUAAAGUCAUAUAGUCAACUGCACUUGUGUCAUGUUUAAAUUACAUGCAACGCUAGUACUAUGAUUAUUAUUAGCAUUAUUAUCACUAAUUUUAUUUGAUUAAUAAUUAUUACGAAUAAUA
rnacentral:lncRNA from 1 species